rnacentral:rRNA from 1 species
UACGGAGGGUGCAAGCGUUAUCCGGAUUCACUGGGUUUAAAGGGUGCGUAGGCGGGCAUGUAAGUCAGUGGUGAAAUCUCCGGGCUUAACCCGGAAAUUGCCGUUGAUACUAUGUGUCUUGAAUAUCGUUGAGGUUUGCGGAAUAUGUCAUGUAGCGGUGAAAUGCUUAGAUAUGACAUAGAACACCAAUUGCGAAGGCAGCAGGCUAAACGAACAUUGACGCUGAGACACUAAAGCGUGGGGAUCAAACAGG